rnacentral:ncRNA from 1 species
UGAUCCCGCGCGGGAGAGCGAGGCCGUCCGGUGCCGAACCGGCCGGCCUCCGCCGAAGGCGCAACCGGCCCCCGGAAACGCUCAGGCCCGAUGGACCGCGCGGGGAAG